CCUACGGGUGGCUGCAGUGGGGAAUAUUGGACAAUGGGGGGAACCCUGAUCCAGCCAUGCCGCGUGUGUGAAGAAGGCCCUCGGGUUGUAAAGCACUUUCAGUGAGGAAGAACGCCUGGUGGUUAAUACCCAUCAGGAAAGACAUCACUCACAGAAGAAGCACCGGCUAACUCCGUGCCAGCAGCCGCGGUAAUACGGAGGGUGCGAGCGUUAAUCGGAAUUACUGGGCGUAAAGCGCGCGUAGGUGGCUUGAUAAGCCGGUUGUGAAAGCCCCGGGCUCAACCUGGGAACGGCAUCCGGAACUGUCAAGCUAGAGUGCAGGAGAGGAAGGUAGAAUUCCCGGUGUAGCGGUGAAAUGCGUAGAGAUCGGGAGGAAUACCAGUGGCGAAGGCGGCCUUCUGGACUGACACUGACACUGAGGUGCGAAAGCGUGGGUAGCAAACAGGACUAGAUACCCUGGUAGUC
rnacentral:rRNA from 1 species